CAGAACGAACGCUGGCGGCGUGCUUAACACAUGCAAGUCGAGUGCACAGUUUGUAGCAAUACAGGCCGGUGCACGGCGCACGGGUGCGUAACACGUGGGCAAUCUGCCCUCCGAUGGGGAAUAACCCCGCGAAAGCGGGGCUAAUUCCGCAUAAAAUUCCCUGGACUUCGGUUUGGGGAUUCAAAGCCGUAAGGCGUCGGAGGAGGAGCCCGCGCCCGAUUAGCUAGUUGGUGAGGUAAUGGCUCACCAAGGCAAUGAUCGGUAGCUGGUCUGAGAGGAUGGCCAGCCACACUGGAACUGAGACACGGUCCAGACUCCUACGGGAGGCAGCAGUGGGGAAUCUUGCGCAAUGGGCGAAAGCCUGACGCAGCGACGCCGCGUGGGGGAUGAAGCUUCUCGGAGUGUAAACCCCUUUCGACUGGGACGAAUGCCUCGCAAGAGGAGUGACGGUACCAGUAGAAGAAGCCCCGGCUAACUACGUGCCAGCAGCCGCGGUAAGACGUAGGGGGCCAGCGUUGUUCGGAAUUACUGGGUGUAAAGGGUUCGUAGGCGGUGCGGCAAGUUGGGAGUGAAAUCUCUGGGCUUAACCCAGAGGCUGCUUCCAAAACUGCUGUGCUUGAGUGUGGGAGAGGCGCGUGGAAUUGCAGGUGUAGCGGUGAAAUGCGUAGAUAUCUGCAGGAACACCCGUGGCGAAAGCGGCGCGCUGGACCACAACUGACGCUGAGGAACGAAAGCUAGGGGAGCAAACAGGAUUAGAUACCCUGGUAGUCCUAGCCCUAAACGAUCAGGACUUGGGGUGCCGCCCGUUCGGGCGUCGUCCCGGAGCUAACGCGUUAAGUCCUGCACCUGGGGAGUACGGUCGCAAGACUGAAACUCAAAGGAAUUGACGGGGGCCCGCACAAGCGGUGGAACAUGUGGUUCAAUUCGACGCUACGCGA
rnacentral:rRNA from 1 species